AGGAUACUCCCUCCGUCCGGAAAUACUUGUCGGGAAAAUGGAUGUAUCUAGAUGUAUCCAAUUUCAUCUAUUUGUGCGAUAAGUAUUUCCGGACGGAUGGAGUAUUUC
rnacentral:pre_miRNA from 1 species